rnacentral:tRNA from 1 species
CGCGGGGUGGAGCAGCCUGGUAGCUCGCUCAUAACCCGAAGGUCGUCGGUUCAAAUCCGGCCCCCGCAACCA